GCUUGAGUGAUGACUUGAAUCUUUUGUCGGAUACCCCUUCACUCUCCAAUGAGUGACAUUUGUGUUCUGACAAGC